CCAUUUUGGGUAUGUUUCUAUGUUUAAAUAGUGCUUGGGUAUUUUUAUAAAUACAUGUCUAGGAUUGGGUAUUUUUAUAAAUAUCUAUUUCUUAUUUUCGUUACUUGUUCAAUAUCGUGAAUUUUGUGGUCUGUCUUUCCGUUGAUGUCUUGCUCACAUUAUGUGUGCAGGAAUUUGGUUUUAACGCCGCAGUUAAUAAAGGAAGUGGAAAUAGUUUAUUGGGAGAACAUGUUAAAUCCUUUUUGUCUCAAGUUUUUUAAACUUUUGUACAAGUCUCUCUCUCUCUAAUUCCCUUCUUAAUUAAUAUUAUGUAUUUUUCAGGUUUCUUCUGUUGGGUUUGAAUUGACUUGCUACCUAAGAGGGGGUUAAUGUUGUUGCCUUUUGUUUCCCAUUUCAAAAAUGUAUUACAUUUGGUGCUGUUAUUUUAGCAAUAUCUUAUGUAGAUGCAUCCUAAUUAUUGUCUUAGGGACAAAGUUUCACCCGGGGGCACGGGUUUGAGGGCUUAACGCCGCUGGUUUUGUUUGUUCACCUUCUUUGGUUUCUUAUUUCUGUUACACGUUCAAUAUCAUGAAUUCUGUGGUUGUUUUUUAUUUCGUGUCAUAUGCAGAUGCAUUUCUUGCUUUAGUCCGGAGUAUCAGGAUUUUGAGUAGUUUUGCUGGAAUUUGGUUUUAAAGGUUUACACUGCAGUUAGUUCUUGGCUUAUAAUUUGAUUUCUUAUUUCUUUGAUGUCUGGAACAAUUUGUUUAUGCAGAUUGCAAAUCUUGUCUGUCGUUGGAAUCUCACUCUACGUUGAAUAAAAACAGGCUGCCUUAACCAUAAGAGGGGUCUUUUAUCUGAUCUUUUUUAUUCGUACCGUCUGUAUAAUGUGGGGCACAUUGUCUGAGCUACAUUUCUGCCUGCAGGCGUAUCCUAACUCAUGUCUAUAUAUGGAGGUCUCACUUUCUCGAAUGAGUUUGAAGAAAGGGUUUGAGUAGUUCUUGGCUUCUGAGUUAUUAUCUGAUUUUAUAUUCUUGGAGCCUGUACGUCAUCCUGAGACAUUUUUUGCACAAUGUCUUUAUAUGCAGACCAUUACACUUGUCUUCUUGUGGGGUCUGAUUCCUUGAAGUAGAACGAGCUGCUUUUAAGAAAGGGUUUGAGUUGUUCUCUGCUUAUGCUGUAACUUCUUACAUGAGCCAUUAUUUGAGUAAUGUUUUCUUUUAGAGUUUGAUGCAUCUUGUGUAUUGGUGAAGAGUUUAUAAGAUCUGGUACCAUUGUUGGAGCAAUAUUCUAUGCAGAUGCAAUUUAACUCGCCUGUGUAUGGAGUCUUACUUUGUUUAAGGAGAGCAGGGGUGCUACUAAGUGAAUUUCUUCGCCCUAUUAUUUGAUUUGCUGGUCUUAAGAGAUUUUGCACAAUGUAUUUGAGCAGCGUUUCUAUAUGCAGACACAUCCUAACUCUUGUCUUGUACAUGGAGUCCAACAUUGUUGACGGAGAAGGGCUUCUUCCAAGAGGGGGUUUCUUCUCUUAUUAUCUAUUUUCUAUUCUGGAGAGUGUAUGAGAUCUUGGGCCAUGAUUUGCACCAUUACUUUCCAUUCUAUGCAGAUCAUCUUGUCUGUAUAUGGGGUCCAAAUUUGUUGAAGGAAAUUUCUUUUAAGAGGGAGUUGAGUAGUAUGGCCUUAUGAUUUAAUUUGUUUAUGAGAUUCGACACUUUCGUUGGGCAUUAUUUUGUGCAGAUACAUCGUAGCUCUGGUCUGUUUCUGGAUCUUUUUCCUUGGAUGUUGGGCUUUGUUGAUUUUUGUCUAGUGCUCUAAUGUCUCAGUUUUUAAGGAGUUAUGAGAUGCAUCCUUGUUCUUGUGUGUGAACAAGUGUAACUUAAUUCAUGACUGGACUAAUUUCUUAAGGAGGUUAUGCUGCGUCUGAUCUUUGUUGUGGCUCUCUUUUUCGAGGAGGGUUUCUGCAGUUCAAUUUAAACUUAAUGUCAAUUUUGAAACCUCAGGAACAGGUGUCAUGCUGAGUUUUGUUUUCCGUUAUGUAUUCAUUUCAGUAUGUCAUUGUCUCAUGCAGAUGCUCAUUGCUCAAAGUCUUACUUGAGUUAAGUUGAUGAGGAUGAAUUUUUGAGUGACAAUCAGAACUUGUUGCACCUCGCCUGGUUUUUCAUCCACUGCCUUCUUGUUUUCAUGAUACUUACAAUUCUUUUCAAAUGGUGAUAUGUUAUGAUGAUGUCAAUUUUUUUUGCGGUAGUUCAUGGAUUUUCCUGUGCAGAAGUUUUGUAGCUCGGAGUCUGUCUUGUAUCUGCAUUGAUUCCUUGAGAAACAGUCUCCACAGUCGUUUCUUAUUUGUUGUAUUCUUUUAUGGGGUUUAUCGUUCAUGGCUUGAUAGUUCAACAUAUUCUUAUGAAUGGGUUCAUUCUUUUCUUUAACUUAAUUAUAUUCUCUCAAAAUUUACUUUUAUUUCUGUUUUUUAAAAGAUAACUGAUUACAGAUUUUGAAUUUCAUGUAGGGGCCUCAAGAUCCUUAAUUUUUCAUGACUCUGCACCUCUCCCAUUCAUUUCUAUAUUGUGCUGGUCUUUAAUUAAUUCACACAUUUUAAGGUUUGGCAGAUGCUUGUCUUUAUUGGUAUUGCUGUUUUUGUCUGUUUAAAUGUCUAUUUUGUCUGGUUGAAGGUGGAUUCAAUGCAGUCUGUGCAGCUUUGUGCAAUACUUUGGCCAUUCAGGGUUGGAUAUUCUUUGGUGCUUCUCUUUUUUUUACCCCUCUUCUUUGGCCUUUUCAGAAGGGCGCUUGUUAAGAUAUUUGGUCGUUCAUUUGAUAUUUUUUUAUGAGUGUAUAUGAUCUGGCACCACCAUUUGAUCUCAUGCAAUGUGUUUGCAGUUGCAUCCUAACUUGUCUUUUACUGGAGUCGCACUUUGUCAGAGCCUGGAACAUCUCUUUUAAGAGGUGGUUUUACGUUUCUUUGCUUGCGAUUUAGUUCUCUGUAGACCAUAAAUGUGGCAUUUUUGAGCAAAUGUAUUAUGCAAAUUCAUUUCGCGUCUUUUUUACUUGAUUACAUAUUAACGGAAUGGGUAUUCAAGCAAACCAACGGAAUAAUGAAUUUGGGCAUGUGCGACAGUCAAGAGGAAUGGGAGUUGCCUUUGCAGAGUCUUGCUCGUGAGGCUCGGUUGAAUGGGGGAUGCUUUUAAGAGGUGCUGGUACUUCUUGGCUUAUGAUUUAUUUUUGUUAGAUUUUAUCAGAUAUGAUUCGCGCAAAAAGUUUUGUGCAGCAACGUUUGUCUCUUAAUGGAGUCCUAGGGUUUAUAGGAGGGCAUGCUGCCGAUUGUUUUAAGAGGGAGUGGGAAUGUGGUAUGCAGAUUGAUGUCUUUGGAUGCAGUGAAGUAUCGUUGGACCGUAGAGCAGCACUUGCCCACAAAUAAACUGAGUAUGACUUUGAUCUUUGUUGAUGGAACUGUUCUUUGAGGGGUCGUGAGAUUUGAUUUUGUCGUUUACAUAGUAUCUUAUUUCCAAUUUGUAUCGAAGUUUUAUUCAUUAAUCUCGUUUUAGCCAAGGUUUACUCAUCUUCAGGUUGACGGAUUGAUUUGUCAGCUAAAAUGGAUAGGAUGACUUGUUUUCAUUGUCUUUGGAUUUCAGUGUUUCGAUCUUAAUUAGCUUAUCUUCUAUGUCUUGCUCAAUUUUUCCAGAAUAUGGGCGGAGGGUUGAAUCUUCCUUUAAUUAAAUUGCUUCUCUCAAAAUCUCUUUUCAUAUAUAUAAAGUUUUCUCAUGUACAGGUGCUAAUAUUCAUAUGUACCUUUUCGGAUUUUAUUGUGUUGGAGGUGGUGGUUUGUGCUCUGCUAAAGGGUUUGGCCUUUGUCUUAAACAUAGUGACCUGUUGGCAUCUUUUUGUUUGAGUGCCUGGUUUGCUUUUGCUGUUUUGUUGUGGCAUAUUACCAUUUUUUCUUCCUGGCAGGCUAAAGUUGCUUAAGUUCGUGAUGGGUCAGUAUGUUGGAUAUUUGAAAUUUCUGGGCAGAGUAGUCCAUUGUAGAAGGUUGGGUUUAUUUGCUUGAAGGGUGCUGUUCCAUUUAGGUUACACAUGGGGUUGUUUGACAAGUAAAUGAUCUGGCAUAAUUAUAUGGGUCGUGUUUUAUGCAGAAGCAGUCUCAUUCUUUGAGGGCUCUGUCUCAGAUUCAAUUUUAUGCACAGAGCUGAUAGAACUGUUUUUAUAAACUGCUGAUGGAAAUGGAUGUGGGAUGAAGUGUGUUGUUUCCCUUACCUGUCUUCUUAGUUCCAUCAGCUGAUAGUCAUACUUUUUCCUAUAACUGUUCCUUUAAAUUGCUUUUGUGUUCAUUUGGGUGGCUUGAUAGGAUCUGUCGUUCAUUUCUUCAUUUGGUGCUUCUUAUAGUCCAACUUACUGAACUUUGCAAUCUGACACUGUUUCUAUGAUCAAUUUGACAUUUUAAAAGCAUUUGAGUAUUAAUUAAAUUGUUGUUUGUUGGUAUCAAAUUAGACAUUUUGAACUUUGGUGUGUUUUUCAUAUUUAUGUCCUUAUUAGUUGCUGGGUGUGUCUCGUUUAUUGGUUCAAUAAUGCUGUGGUCGAGCGUCAUUCGACUAUUCUGAGCUGGUUACAAAGAGAUGAUAGGGAUGAGAGAUUACAUUUAAUGUAAUACUUAUCUCUAAUUUAUGACUAAGUAAUGAACUUACAAAGAGAACAUAUAAUGUAUUGAAAGAAUGUAGUUCUGGUUUGUCAUAUUUGUUAUAUCGAAGUUGCUCUGUUUUUGCAUAGAGGGUCGGAGUUCUUUAGACAUCUGAAUGUCUAUCAAUUGUAUAAUGUCAACUUCUUGGUAGCUUUUUCUCUUUUAGAUUUGUUUGGCUUUUAGUAUGAUGGUUAUGUGCAUUGCUUUGUUUUUAGCUGCUGUCUGUUGUGUGUAUUUGUGUUUAGUUAGUUAGGUUUAAAGGGAUGUAGCUCAAAAUGGUAGAGCUCUCAGCUUGUAACCUGUAUGAACAAGUUACAACACUUACGAGAAGAUCAAGGUUCAAA